UACGAGGGGGGCAAGCGUUGUUCGGAAUUAUUGGGCGUAAAGGGUGCGUAGGCGGUUUUGUAAGUCUUGUGUGAAAUCUUCAGGCUCAACUUGAAGACUGCACGAGAAACUGCAGGGCUUGAGUGUUGCAGGGGAGACUGGAAUUCCUGGUGUAGCGGUGAAAUGCGCAGAUAUCAGGAGGAACACCGGUGGCGAAGGCGGGUCUCUGGGCAACAACUGACGCUGAGGAGCGAAAGCGUGGGGAGCGAACAGG
rnacentral:rRNA from 1 species